UACGAAGGGGGCUAGCGUUGCUCGGAAUCACUGGGCGUAAAGCGCACGUAGGCGGCUUUUUAAGUCAGGGGUGAAAUCCUGGAGCUCAACUCCAGAACUGCCUUUGAUACUGAGAAGCUUGAGUCCGGGAGAGGUGAGUGGAACUGCGAGUGUAGAGGUGAAAUUCGUAGAUAUUCGCAAGAACACCAGUGGCGAAGGCGGCUCACUGGCCCGGUACUGACGCUGAUGAGCGAAAAGCUAGGGGGAGCAAAACGGGAUUAGAAA
rnacentral:rRNA from 1 species